rnacentral:rRNA from 1 species
GAUGAACGCUGGCGGUAUGCCUAACACAUGCAAGUCGUACGAGAGUUUUUAACUCUAGUGGCGGACGGGUGAGUAACACGUGAGAAUUUGCCUUUAGGAGGGGGACAACAAUUGGAAACGAAUGCUAAUACCCCAUAUGCUUUCGAGUGAAAUGGAUUUUAUCCGCCUAGAGAGAAGCUCGCGGCUGAUUAGCUUGUUGGUAAGGUAAGAGCUUACCAAGGCUAUGACGCCUAACUGGUUUGAGAGGAUGAUCAGUCACACUGGAACUGAGACACGGUCCAGACUCCUACGGGAGGCAGCAGUGGGGGAAUAUUUGGCACAAUGGACGAAAGUCUGAUGCAGCAACGCCGCGUGGAGGAUGACACAUUUCGGUGCGUAAACUCCUUUUAUAUAGGAAGAUAAUGACGGUACUAUAUGAA